rnacentral:misc_RNA from 1 species
AGAAAUCUUCCCGCAAAGGGUGAUACCAAGGUAUAAUAUAAUCGGAUUGUUAAAAUGUUUUUUUUUUUUCAAAAAUGUUUAUGAUAUGACUAACACAGAUUUUUAUUUUUCAAAAUAAGCAUCAAAAGCAAUUUCAAGACAAAAUGUACAUUUAUGCUGUCAUAUUUUAUUCAAGGCUACAUAUUGUGAUUCUUACUGUACUAUCUCCAUCGAGUGCCAUGGAAAUGGACAUGAAAUAUAUUGUAGUAUCUGGAAAUGGAUAUGAAAUUAUUGUAAUUGUAAUCAUAUGUUAUUAUAUUAUGCUUGAAUUUAGAAUAAAAACCUCAAGAAUUUG